AAAGAGAACCCUUUUGCGCUGUUUGUGGGAAUGCAAACUGGUGCAGCCACUGUGGAAAAGAGUAUGGAGGUUCCUCAAAAAAUUAAAAGUAGAAAUACCACAUGACCUAAUAAUUCCACUACGAGAUAUUUACCCAAAGGAAA